AAUUGGAUUUUAAAAGCCUAAGUAUUGUAUCCUUGUAAGAAGAUACAAAGACAAACACUCAUACGGACUUCGGCUACACCAUCAAAGCUUUGAGAAGCAAGAAGAAGCUUGUUUAGUGUUUUGGAGUCGAAUAUGACUUGAUGUGAUGUGUAUGAUUGAGUAUAAGAACUUAAACCGCAAUCGGAUCUUAAAAGCCUAAGUAGUGUUUCCUUGUUAGAAGAUACAAAGCCAAAACCUCAUACGGACUUUAGUUACACCAUCAAUGCCUUGAGAAUCAAGAAAAAGCUUGGUUAAUGUUUUGGAGUCAAAUAUGA
rnacentral:sRNA from 1 species